rnacentral:miRNA from 1 species
GGUGUGUGUGUGUGUGUGUGUGUGUGUGUGUGUGUGUUGGUUACAGUGGCUGAAGGUAUUUUCUUCCUGGCUUGUAAAAGACAAUAAUAUUAAGUGUGCGUGUGCAAACACACACACACACACACACACACACCCC